UUUCCGUAGGUGAACCUGCGGAAGGAUCAUUACCGAGUGCGGGCCCUCUGGGUCCAACCUCCCAUCCGUGUCUAUCUGUACCCUGUUGCUUCGGCGUGGCCACGGCCCGCCGGAGACUAACAUUUGAACGCUGUCUGAAGUUUGCAGUCUGAGUUUUUAGUUAAACAAUCGUUAAAACUUUCAACAACGGAUCUCUUGGUUCCGGCAUCGAUGAAGAACGCAGCGAAAUGCGAUAAUUAAUGUGAAUUGCAGAAUUCAGUGAAUCAUCGAGUCUUUGAACGCACAUUGCGCCCCCUGGUAUUCCGGGGGGCAUGCCUGUCCGAGCGUCAUUGCUGCCCUCAAGCACGGCUUGUGUGUUGGGCUUCCGUCCCUGGCAACGGGGACGGGCCCAAAAGGCAGUGGCGGCACCAUGUCUGGUCCUCGAGCGUAUGGGGCUUUGUCACCCGCUCCCGUAGGUCCAGCUGGCAGCUAGCCUCGCAACCAAUCUUUUUAACCAGGUUGACCUCGGAUCAGGUAGGGAUACCCGCUGAACUUAA
rnacentral:rRNA from 1 species